rnacentral:tRNA from 1 species
GCUUUCGUGGUGUAAUGGUCAGCACACUGAGCCGGUAUUUCAGAGGUCCGCGGUUCGAUUCUCGGCGAAGGAA